rnacentral:rRNA from 1 species
CAUGCGGCAGCUACCAUGCAGUCGGACGAACUCUUCGGAGUUAGUGGCGGACGGGUGAGUAACACGUGGGAACGUGCCUUUAGGUUCGGAAUAACUCAGGGAAACUUGUGCUAAUACCGAAUGUGCCCUUCGGGGGAAAGAUUUAUCGCCUUUAGAGCGGCCCGCGUCUGAUUAGCUAGUUGGUGAGGUAAAGGCUCACCAAGGCGACGAUCAGUAGCUGGUCUGAGAGGAUGAUCAGCCACAUUGGGACUGAGACACGGCCCAAACUCCUACGGGAGGCAGCAGUGGGGAAUCUUGCGCAAUGGGCGAAAGCCUGACGCAGCCAUGCCGCGUGAAUGAUGAAGGUCUUAGGAUUGUAAAAUUCUUUCAGUAGGGACGAUAAUGACGGUACCUACAGAAGAAGCCCCGGCUAACUUCGUGCCAGCAGCCGCGGUAAUACGAAGGGGGCUAGCGUUGCUCGGAAUUACUGGGCGUAAAGGGAGCGUAGGCGGACAUUUAAGUCAGGGGUGAAAUCCCGGGGCUCAACCUCGGAAUUGCCUUUGAUACUGGGUGUCUUGAGUAUGAGAGAGGUAUGUGGAACUCCGAGUGUAGAGGUGAAAUUCGUAGAUAUUCGGAAGAACACCAGUGGCGAAGGCGACAUACUGGCUCAUUACUGACGCUGAGGCUCGAAAGCGUGGGGAGCAAACAGGAUUAGAUACCCUGGUAGUCCACGCCGUAAACGAUGAUUGCUAGUUGUCGGGAUGCAUGCAUUUCGGUGACGCAGCUAACGCAUUAAGCAAUCCGCCUGGGGAGUACGGUCGCAAGAUUAAAACUCAGAGGUGUGUGCGCGC